GACGAACGCUGGCGGCGUGCUUAACACAUGCAAGUCGAACGGAAAGGCCCUGCUUUUGUGGGGUGCUCGAGUGGCGAACGGGUGAGUAACACGUGAGUAACCUGCCCUUGACUUUGGGAUAACUUCAGGAAACUGGGGCUAAUACCGGAUAGGAGCUCCUGCUGCAUGGUGGGGGUUGGAUAGUUUCGGCGGUUGGGGAUGGACUCGCGGCUUAUCAGCUUGUUGGUGGGGUAGUGGCUUACCAAGGCUUUGACGGGUAGCCGGCCUGAGAGGGUGACCGGCGACAUUGGGACUGAGAGACGGCGCAGACUCCUACGGGAGGCAGCAGGGGGGAAUAUUGCACAAUGGGCGGAAGCCUGAUGCAGAAACGCCGCGUGCGGGAUGACGGGCUUCGGGUUGUAAACCGCUUUCGCCUGUGACGAAGCGUGAGUGACGGUAAUGGGUAAAGAAGCACCGGCUAACUACGUG
rnacentral:rRNA from 1 species